AUUGAACGCUGGCGGCAUGCUUUACACAUGCAAGUCGAACGGCAGCGCGGGCUUCGGCCUGGCUUCGGGUGGCGAACGGGUGAGUAAUACAUCGGAACGUGCCCAGUAGUUGUGUAUAGCGCGGCGAAAUCCGGAUUAAUACCGCAUACGACCUGAGGGUGAAAGCGGGGGAUCUUCGGACCUCGCGCUAUUGGAGCGUCCGAUGGCAGAUUAGCUAGUUGGUGGGGUAAAGGCCUACCAAGGCGACGAUCUGUAGCUGGUCUGAGAGGACGACCAGCCACACUGGGACUGAGACACGGCCCAGACUCCUACGGGAGGCAGCAGUGGGGAAUUUUGGACAAUGGGCGAAAGCCUGAUCCAGCAAUGCCGCGUGUGUGAUGAAGGCCUUCGGGUUGUAAAGCACUUUUGGCGGGAACGAAAAGGACUGUGCCAAUACCACGGUUUGAUGACGGUACCCGCAGAAUAAGCACCGGCUAACUACGUG
rnacentral:rRNA from 1 species